rnacentral:lncRNA from 1 species
AUUAGCGUUGAGUACGUGGACGGUCAUUUGUACUAUUUGUUGCAUUGUGGCAUUCACGUAGACGUUGGGUGGUGCGUACAUUACAGUAAAAUGCAUUUGCAACGACUUGAAGUCGCUGUCCAGCAUUCAAACGUACUAUUGUUUGUUCUCUUCAUCGUGGAUUAAGUCGUGGCAUCAGUACUGCAUCGAACUGAUUAUGAUGACACAAAAACUUCGUACCUUUAAAAUACCCUUAUAGAGGCACGGAUUCAACGUGCAUCUCAUCAUCAUGAAAUGUGACUGCGAAACGUGUCCCGCGAACCUAUCC